GAUGAACGCUAGCUACAUGCUUAACACAUGCAAGUCGAGGGACCGGCGCAUGUGUGAGUAACACGUAUCCAACCUGCCCUUUACUCGGGGAUAGCCUUUAGAAAGAUAGAUUAAUCCCCUACAUAAAGGAUGGGGAUGCGUUGCAUUAGGUUGUUGUUGAGGUAACGGCCCACCAAGCCUUGGAUGGAUAGGGGUUCUGAGAGGAAGGUCCCCGACAUUGGAACUGAGACACGGUCCAAACUCGUACGGGAUGCGGCAGUUAUGACGAUUGGGCAAUGAGCGGUAGCCUGAACCAGCCAAGUAGCGUGAAGGAUGAAGGCUUAUGAGUCAUAAACUUCUGUUAUAUAAGAUUAUGUAUUAUAUGAAUAAGGAUCGGCUAACUCCGUGCCAGCCGCCGCGGUAAUAC
rnacentral:rRNA from 1 species